UACGAAGGGAGCUCGCGUUGUUCGGAAUUACUGGGCGUAAAGGGCGCGUAGGCGGCUUGGCAAGUUGGGUGUGACAGCCCAGGGCUCAACCCUGGAAUUGCAUUCAAGACUGCCUUGCUUGAAUUCGGUAGAGGUUGGUGGAAUUCCCAGUGUAGCGGUGAAAUUCGUAGAGAUUGGGAAGAACACCCGUGGCGAAGGCGGCCAACUGGACCGACAUUGACGCUGAGGCGCGAAAGCGUGGGGAUCAAACAGG
rnacentral:rRNA from 1 species